AGAGUUUGAUCCUGGCUCAGAAUCAACGUUGGCGGCGCGCCUAACACAUGCAAGUCGAACGAGAAAGUGGAGCAAUCCAUGAGUACAGUGGCGUACGGGUGAGUAACACGUGGGUAAUCUACCUUUUGGUGGGGAAUAACUCUGGGAAACCGGAGCUAAUACCGCAUAAUCCAGUAAUGGAAAAGUCGAAAGACGCCGAUUGAGGAGCCCGCGGCUGAUUAGCUAGUUGGUGGGGUAAUGGCUCACCAAGGCAAAGAUCGGUAGCCGGCCUGAGAGGGCACACGGCCACACUGGCACUGAAACACGGGUCAGACUCCUACGGGAGGCAGCAGUCGGGAAUUUUGGGCAAUGGGGGAAACCCUGACCCAGCAACGCCGCGUGAAGGAUGAAGUAUUUCGGUAUGUAAACUUCGAAAGAAUAGGAAGAAUUAAUGACGGUACUAUUUAUAAGGUCCGGCUAACUACGUGCCAGCAGCCGCGGUAAUAC
rnacentral:rRNA from 1 species